UCGAAACACCCGUUCACACAAGAUCACCGAAGUUAAGAAACGUCGAUCCAGGUCAGAACCUAAAUGGGUGACCACUUGGGAAUACCAGGUGCUGUAA